UCUUUCUCUUCCCGUUCUUUUUGGUCUCUGCUCGUUGUCUUCUGCGUCCUCCCUCCUUCGCCUCCUUCGCCUCCUUCGUCUCUGGCUUACAUAAGCUACGUUGUGAGCGGUGACAGCGCAGACCUGAGAACUCAUCACAGGCCUCACUCAACAGGAACACCCCCUUCUGUCUGUCUCCUUGUUUCACGGGAGCCAUGGCAGCUGUACACUUGACCGCAGGCGAAAAGAGGAUAAUAGCGAGAGAGAUCAAAGCAGAAAAAGAUAACAGACGCAUGCACUUUCUCUCUCUCUCUCCGUCGUCUUUCCGCAUCUCUCUCCCACAUACACUCCUUCUCUCUGACUCUUUCUCGACAUACGGGAGGUACAUUUUACUUUCAAAGUGGGACCAGAAGUUCAAAGCAGUAAACUUGGGGUUUUUUUCUUUUAAUGUUUUUGAUUUUAUUCAAUGUAGUGAUUUAUUAGACUGCCAGACAUUGUCCCCCAUGAUGAAAGGAGAUGCAGGGUUGCCAGAGGUUGGAGGCAAAAGAGGGAUAAGGACAUGACAGGGAUCAGACUCUGAACUCCUCUGUGGAUUUAACAGUCUGACUCUGAAGAAAAACGAAGGAGAAGGAUUGGCUCUAAACUCAUUAAAAAUGAAAUCCAGUGUUGGGUUUCAUGACUGUUGGUAUCGCAACUACAAAGAAGAUUUUGUUUCAGGUUUUUGCAGAAAUUCAAUUUGAGCAGCAUUAACACAGCAACAUUGCAGACUGUCGCAGUUCCUGCCUAUAGCCUCCCUUCCUUUCUUCUUCUUCUUUCCCCUCUUCUUUUCUGCUCUCUCUACCUCCUUUUCUCCUUGCUUCUCUCUUUCUCUUUUCCUCUCUCCACCUCCUCUCCCUCACUUCUACCUGUCUCUCUCCUCCCCUGCCUCGGUCCAGUGCUGCACACCUGACUGCAGAGCCAAUCAGAGCUAAUUGGAGACAGCUGCAGGAGGAGCACAGCUGCACGGCAUUAUUCUGCACUGGAUGAAGCCCAGCUCACUCCUGGCCAGUUACUUCCGUUUUAUUCUGCAAUAAUCCGCAUCCUUGUGUGGACUCUUGUAAUUUUACUUCCUCUUUGUGUCUGUUCCCUUCUCUGUGAUUGGCCUCAUUAGUUUCACCUCUGUCUUGUCUCCCCAGUUAGCUCUCUGCGUUGUCUUUUGUCAGUUUGUCCAGUUCACUACUGUUCGCUCUCUUCGUGGUGUCUGGCCUCAUUCUUCUCCUUGCUCCUCUCAUUUGCGUCCUUUCGAUUUUUUGGGAAUUUUUGGAUGUAGCUUUCUUGGAUCAUCUUCUUUUUUUGGUGGUGUUUUCCUUGGAUUACCAGUCUCCAUAGCUCCACUCGCAACCCAAUCGGACAUCCUGGGAGGAGGAAGGCGACACAAGGACAGCAAGUGGGGCAGCAGAAAAGAGAGCACAGCAACAAACCCAACGAUGCAACCAGCGACAUUAAGAACUAUGUUACUGCAAGAAGAGCAAGGAUUCCUGCAACAGAUGGUCUGGCCCACACAGAGACUGAUCUCAGCAACAUGGAGUCCGUCUGGGAUUGUAAGAAGGAACAGAAAACACUGAGACAGUAGGUCAGGUACAGUUCAGUGCUUUAAAACUGAAUGUACCAUAAAAUUACCCAAGAUCUUUUUAAAGACUUUAUUUAUAUUCUUCCAACUAAUACCAGUUUCCCCUCAUUUAACAUGAUAUUCCUCUAAAUUGUGUCCCUACUCAAGGUGAGGUGUGAAAUGGAGGUGUUGAAGUCACAGUAGGUGAAUAGAAAGGUGUUCACUAUGUUUGUUUUUUUAGCUAUGACAUGUUUUUGCCACACUUUAGCCAAGUGUCUUUGCGCCUUUGUUGUAGGUCUUUUUAAAUUACAACUCAAAACCUUCCUGUUUAACCCUUUAAGCUGCAGUCAAUUCCAGCCAUUUUCUGUACAAAAAAAUCGCUAAUAUUCUAUUUGUAAAUAAAAUAUGACGAAAAAUACAGGGAAUAUUGGACACGCAUCGUGAGGUGCAUUUCCUCGAAAACGGCCUAUUCGUGGAUUAUAUACCGACUUCAAGACAUGUUUUGGACAAAAUAGUUUACUGCCUUGUGUCGUCUGGAUGUCCAAGGUUGGAUUAUGGCCAUUUUUUGUGGAAUAUUUUCAUCUGUGUGUAAUAAUGAACCCGGAAAUGUGAGUCGCGCUGUGUACGUUGAAGCCGUGUACGUUGAAGCCGUGUACAGAGAACGGAUGGAUGGAUAUUCAUUGUUUGUCAGACAAAUGUGUUUAUAUUACCCGCUGUGGUAAUCACAUCUGAAAGUGGUUUAUACUGGCGGAUUCAUGAGAAUCUAAGCUUUCCAUCGGCGUAUAGUGUUUGUACAAUCGCGUUUGCAGUUUCACACAUUUAGCAAUUGCUUAUGCAGAUCUCAGAGUGUACCGCGGGCGGGACACUGAAGCGCAACGGGAUAAGAUGGCUUCUCAUACCUAGUGGCAUGGUGACAUUUUACUAUUUUUAUUCCUUUGGCUGUAUAUUUCAGGGCUGUUUUGUUGCUGUACGUUUUGUUCAUUUUAGAGGCUGCAUAAUGGCGUGGCCGUUAGCAUUUUGGCCUUGCAGCUAUAAGGGCCCUGGUUUGUGUCCCGGCCUUCCUGGGAUCUUUCUGCAUGGAGUUUGCAUGUUCCUCCUGUGCAUAUGUGGAUUUCCCUCCUACAGUCCAACAUAUGCUGAGGUUAACUGAUUAUUCUAAAUUUGCCCAUAGGUGUAAGUGUGAUUGUUUGUUUUAAAUUAUUUUCUUGUUUUUCCUCUGUGAAACACUUUGGUCACCCUUUUGGGCUGUUGUAAAAGGCUCUAGAAAGAAACUUUGAUUGCCUGGAACUAAACCUACCUUAGUAUUUACCACAUUAUUUCACCCCCAUCCAUCCACUUUUAAGAUGAUGUUGGCGGCAGGCUUGGCAGGUCGUACCAGAUGUCCUUCUCCCCAGUAACAUUUUACAGCUCCUCCUGGGGGAUCUUAAAAUGCUACCAGGUCAGAUGAGAUAUGUAAUAGCAGUGAGUUCUAGGUCUCUACUAGGGUCUCCUCCAUGUUGGACAUGCCUGGAAAACCGCCAAAGGAAGGUGUCCAGGUGGUAUCCUAGUCAAAUGUAUGAACCAUCACAGCUGGCUCCUUCCUACAUGAAGGAGCAGCGACUCUACUCUGAGCUCCCUCCAUAUAUCAGAACUCGUCAUGCUAUCUCCAAGACUAAACCCACCCAUACCAGAGAGGAAAUGUAUUUCAGCCACUUGUAUUCAUCAUCUCAUUCAUCCAGUCACUGCUCAGAGCUCAUAACAAUAGAUAAAGAUUGGAACAUAGACGUACCAGUAAGUGAAGAACUUUACCUUCUGGGUCUUCAUCAUGACUGUUUGGUACAACAUCUGCAUUACAUCUGAUGCUGCCUAUUCCAUCCGUCUGUCUCCCACUCUGUUUUCCCGUCACUUGAGAACAAGAUUAAACUGCUUUGCUGGGGUCAGCAACUAACCCCAAGCCCAGUGGGAGCCAUCCAUCGGUUUAGAGAAGCAUAGACUUAAAUUUGGGGGUGCUGAGUCUCAUCCCAGCUGCUUUGCACUCAGCUGCAACCUGUUUCAGUGUUUGCUGAACAUCACAAACUGAAAACUAAUAGUCACAUCAUCUGUAAAAAGCAAAAAUGUGACUUAUAUUCCCAAACUUUACACCCUCCUUACCUUGGACCCUGAACCUUAAUAUCCUGUCCCUGAAUAUAACAAACAUGACUGGUGGUAUACAACAACCACUGUAUUUGACUUAAUGCUGGCAACAUUCGCUGGUAUACAAUAUUUCUAAAACAUAAAAAAUUCCAGACUUUUAAAAAAAACAUGCUGGCAUGAAGUAUAUUCCAGGGUUUUGUUAAAUUGUCCAACACUGGGAGCCUUAUCUGACAAGUGAUUGGUUUCAAUCUCAAGCGGGCUGGUCUGACCUAAUAAGAACCUGCCAGAAAACAGACAUCAAAAAAGUGAGAAUAAGAGUGGAGGAAGGAAAAAGGAGUGGGCAGAUUGUGCAACUUUUUGUUGAACCUCUACAUACUAUAGAAAUUCACUCCUUAAAUUAUUAAGUUGUUUCCAUAUUUGGCUCCCAUCUGCCAUGUGUAAACACAGCCUGCAUUUCUGCCAAAAGUAAAGCAAAAGCAUUUUGUUUCGUGACUGUAGGCCCAUUUUCACUGAAUAUCACAAUUUAAAGUUUAGAUUUGGUUAAAUUUCCCAAUAGGGCAGUAUGUUGCAGAUGUGUAGUUUAAGGCUUGUUAGAAAGUCUCUAAUAAAUGGUGUCAUUUUGGCAUGUCUUUAGAGCAAACUCGCCUUUCAAACCCACCAGCAGGUUUUGGGGUUCAGAGGGUUAAGGCAAGGGAAAGCUUGUAGUAACAAGCUGUAAUUGCAGGUCUGGGACUUUAGGAGAACUACAGCCUCAAGCAAACGGCCUACACAUCCUUUCACAAGCUCAACCUUCUCACCUUUACUUUUUGCCUUGCUUUAUAUGCAGUCGACCACUGCUGCACUGAGCGUUGGCAUUGCACAUGAAUCAUUAAGUAGGUGCAGAAUAUGGAAGAAUUCCUUCAAUAUGGACAUAAUUCCAUGUUAAAGGUUUGGGUCUCAAUAAAUUGAUCACCUGAGCUACACUUGUCUUCAUGUUAUAAUGUCCAUGUUUAGUUGUACUGGAUAAAUAAUUCCCAGAAGUAAAUUUGCAUAUAAGUUACAGAAUACAUAAAUAGAUGAUAUAAAGUACAGUCAGAAUUUUUGUUCCGCUAAUGGGAGUUAAUUACUUAAUAUUUGGACUGAACUGAAUGGACUAAGGGUGCGGUUGUGCAUUGUUGCCUUGCUGGAAGAAAAUUCUGGAUUUAAACCUAUUAGUUGGUUGUUGCAUUUCUGUGCGUAGUUUGCAUGUUCUCCCUUCACCUUGCAUGGGUUUCAUCCAGGUGCUCUAGCUUCCUCCUACAGUCCAAAGAAAUGUAUGUUUGUUAAGUUAAAUGGUGAUUUUAAAGUAGCUGUUUGUGUGAAUGUAAGAGUGCACGGUUGUCUGUUUCUGUGUGUUCGCCCUGUGACGGACUGGUGAUCUGACCAAUGUGUUCCCCGCCUCUUGUCCAAUGUCAGCUGGGAUAAUUGGGCUAAAGGAAACCCAGCAACCAGAGCAUAGACUGUAUAUAAAGAUAUAUGGUGUGUCUUUAUAUACAGUCUAUGAACCAGAGCUGUGUGGUAGUAAGUGCAGAAUUUUGUCACUGAGGUGUGAAUUUAUUUACUUGUUGAAGGGUUGACAAAAAAAUGUGUGCAGUACGCUCAACCCUGCGUUUCUGGAUGAAGACUUUAAAGACAGAACCCUGGGUGGAUGGUGUGGUAUUGAGGUGUGAUAAGGGUGUUGAAGAAAUAAUUGCAAUUCUCCUGUCAUGGAGGCUUGGGCUUGACUCCAGGUUACUUUCUGCCUGCGAGGACUGUAGAGCAGGUGGAUGGAGGGAGAUAUAGACACAGAAAUUAAUUAAAAUUCUCCCUCUCCUCCUUUUCCCAUUUUAUGCAUACAUAACUACUCACUGCUCAUGACCACAGGGGUUGAGAGCCACAAAACUGGGAGGAGGGCAGAGAAUGAAAGGUUAGAGUGGGGAGAGGGAGAGAUUUAUACUGAGGGAGGUGGAGAGGUAGAGGAGUGAUGAAGGUGAAAGAUUAAUAACCGCCUAGUCCUUUGCUAACAGGCUACUAUGUACUUAUAAAAGUGUGCGUCUGUGUGUGUGUAAUAGCUACUAUGGGAUUCAUGUGAGCAAUGUCACUGCGUUCCCCUUAAAAUUCUUGAUUUUACACAUUAUAUACCUUCUCCAAACAGGGUUCCUGUUACGUGAAAUUCAUUCUUUCCUCCUAGCUGAACACAUCCUUAAAUACGCAUGCUUGAUUAUAUUUUAAUUUAUAAUUUCUUAGCAACAUAGCUGUACCUUUUCUUGCACACCUGGAAAAAAAAAUGAGCAUGUGUGAGCAUGCAGCACAGAAAUGCCAUAUUUAAGAGAGAGUUGGUGUUUUUAGAGCAGACGUGGAUAGCGUGUGUGUGUUUGAGAGUGCUUUCAUUGGGUUUUAAUCAGGGCGUCACGCUCUCGGUUCCGAUUAGGUACAGCAGGCAGGGCUCUCCAGCCUGCUGCUUCUGAACAACAACACCCUCUAAAAAGCAGAUAAUGCCUCGACACUCACAGGCUCAAAGAAAAUGAACAACUCUCCCUCAUUCUCCCUUCCUCUCUUUCUCCUUCGCAUCUGCGGCCAAAAUCAGAUCGAUGCCGAGAGAAAAUGAAACUCCAAAACAACAGGAAGGUGAGAGCAGCCUCAGGUAUGAGAUGUGUCUUGUCACGUGAGGAAAAAAACAGAAAACAGGAGAAUGUAAUAUGAGGUGCAACCAAUAUGAUUCAGUGUUGUCCUCUGGCCCUCCAAAUGUCACAAACCAUUUUCAAAGAUCAUCAGAUGCAAUGCACAAGUGCACAAACACUCAGAUACACACAAACUGCAGAAUAUGUAACAAACUGCGAGAGAUUCACGGCCAUAGUAAUUGUCUUUUUGUGUUUGCGCAUCUGCAGUGACAAUAUGUGAUCCUCACACUUCAUUCCACAUGUCAAAAGACAUUAUUCUUGUUGCUUCACAUUAAUUGACUCAUUUUUCUUUCAUUUCAUGUCUAGCCAGUGUGUAAGAGGAUUCAUCUCCAGGCUCUGUCCCUGUCUAUUGGAGACAUUACGAGAAACAGAAGUAGGAAAGUAAUGAAGAUGAAUAUGUGCAUAAAUUAUUCGGCCAUAUGUGCAUCUUUUUACGAAUAGGAAAAAUAAAGUUUAAAGGUUGGAGGGAAAAAAGUUAGGAUUCUUUAUGCUGUGUGUGAGCAGCUUUUUAUCCAGUGACUUUCAUAUCAUGAUACAAACGACUGCUUUUAUAGCAGAGGAGAGAGUGCAACUGUUCAACAAUCGCUUUUAUUGUGUUCCCAAUAUGAUGAUAUUCAUAAAUAUAAUUCAGCACCUGACACAAUAGCUGCAACGUGCACCUGGACACCCACACAGUAUCACAAAGCACAAUCAGAUCUAUUGUUAACAGAGUACAAAUCACAAGCGAGAAAUGACACGAGACUGUAAUGACACGAGAACUGCACUGAUAGACUUCUUUUGUCACCAUAUUUUUGUUAAUUCAUGACACUACUGUUUUCUUUCACCUAUAUGCAUUGAUUUUUUUGAUACAAAAAACAUGCUUAUAAUGGCUACCUUUAUCACUAAUCCUGUGUGAUAACCUCUCCAUUUUACAACCACCAUGCAGAAUUGUUUGAAUUUAUUUUCAUUACCAAGCCUUCAGUCAUGCCUGCAGCUCCGUGAGGCAGCACUUGGGCACAGCAGUGCUUUGAGCUUAAUAGUGGUUUAAAAGUGCAGAGCAGCAGAUUAAAAACAGCUGUGAAGUGAGUCCUGUUGUCUGACAAAAGAAACAGAAAAAUAUGCAUUGAAUAUGUGAAUUCAACUGUAUUAAAAUGCCGGCUAUGUGAGCACAACAAGUGACAGGAAGAUGAAUAACUUGACAGGUCAUUGUUUAUUACUUACAAGUUGCUAUGAAGCGUCUGCCAUCUUUGGAGGUCCAGGUCCCACAGAGCUCUGACUGUGGGCGUAUCAUUAAAGCUAAUGGUAAUGUUAGCCAUAUUAGCUGCAUAACAUGCUAACACUAGGAAUUUCCAUACUGGUGUGGUGACAUUAUCAAGAAAUUAAAACAACCCUCGGGAUCUUUAGUUCCUCAGAUACUGGCAGUGCACGAAGACUCCUGUGUUCACUGAACUAUGAGGCAGCUCCUCAUUCACUUAGAGGCAGCAGGCACUGAGGAGCCAAAGUUUGAGGUUCAAGAGUUUAGGGUUCUGAGUUGGAACGUAGCAGCUCAAUAAAAUCCAUCUGACCUGUUUACUCGGAGGAUUUUCUAGUUGUGAGGGGGCUUGAGGAAUGGCAGAUAAUAACGUCUUAAUUCUAAUAAUAGCCUUUAUACCUCCAAGUUUAUAACAACCAUGACACAUAAUUAAAGUGGAUUUUCACAAUAUGGAACCUUAAACAGCUGGGGCAAACUUCAUCAUAAUCCGUCCAAUAGUCGUUGAGACAUAUGAACCUCAGAGUGUUGCUAUAGAGGAUAAGUCAGUGAAUCAACAAAAGCUGUGGAAUUUAACCUCUGGUGAUCUUAAAUGUUGAUACCACAUUUCCUGACAGUUCAUCCAAUAACUGUUGAGAUUUUUUUUUAGUUUGGAGCAAUAAGGUCGACUGACAGACAAGCCGUUCAGAGUCACGGUGCUAUCAUAAUAUGUGUGUGCAUGUGAGUGUGAAUGAAUGUUUACAUGUUGUGACAGACAACAACCUGUUGAGGAUGCACCCCGCCUGUCACCCUGUGUGAGUCGGGAUCAUCUCCAGUCCUCUGUGACCCUGCACGGAAUAAACAAGUACAAGUUCUGCAUAUUGUAUAUGUGUGUGUGUGUGUGUGUGAAUUCAUGAUGAAUCCUGCACUCUGACAAACUACAUGACAACCAGAAACAGAUAUUAAACAUAGCCAGAACUGACACAUCUCCAGCACCAUAGCUUCUGUUGCAAUCCAAACACAACACAUUGUAAUGAAAUGCUUGGUUGGAUACCCAGAAUUUGCCCAUAUGGUCUGGAGCGACUAUGUGAUGGAAUAUUGCGUAAGUAACUGUGACAGAUGCCCUGAUUUUGGCUCUGAAUGGAAACUUUGAAUUCGCAGGGACGACGCUUUCUGCCUUCUGUUUAUUCCUGCCACAUUUUUAAUCAUAUUGUAUCAGCAGGUGAUGUGAGGCAAUCAGGAACAACCCUGCCGCUGACCAGCCGACACUCAAUUACACGCACACCAAGGCUUGUGGAGGCAGAAAGCUGGAGAACAUGAUUUAAAAGAGGAUAGAGUCGGUAUAACUCUUGCAGUGUCUUGUUCAAUUUGCACCUUCCAAAAAAAAUCCUGUGAAAAAUGGAUUCAAAAUGUUUCACUUUCCAAUCUUUGCAUAUAAUGAAUUGUAAAAAUGGAAAUAAAAGCUGACUCUAUAUUCUAA